GUUGAUCCAAACUGUAAUGACGUCAGACGCCAAGAAAAGAAAAAAAGAAAAGCGGGACUGUAUUUUUCCUUCGCAGGUGUCUCCACGGGCCAUCACGAAGGAGUUACAGUACGUACUUAGCCAGGAUGACUUUGGGAGCAGUUGCCUCUGUGAUCCUCGCCAUAGGAGGAGCUGUCAUGUUUUCUGCUCUUCAUAAGAUUGAAGAAGGACACGUGGGUGUUUACUACAGGGGUGGAGCUUUGCUGACUGCUACCAGCGGUCCUGGAUUUCAUCUGAUGCUGCCGUUUAUUACGACAUUCAAGUCUGUACAGACAACCCUACAAACAGAUGAAGUAAAGAAUGUACCAUGUGGCACAAGUGGAGGUGUAAUGAUCUACUUUGAUCGAAUUGAGGUGGUGAACUUCCUUAUUCCUACAGCAGUGUAUGGCAUUGUAAGAAACUUCACUGCUGACUAUGACAAAGCCCUGAUUUUCAACAAAGUUCACCAUGAGCUGAAUCAGUUCUGUAGUGUGCACACACUUCAGGAGGUCUACAUAGGCCUUUUUGAUCAAAUAGAUGAGAAUCUAAAGAUCACCCUGCAGGAGGAUCUGACCAAUAUGGCACCUGGACUCAUCAUUCAGCAGGCAGUACGUGUUACCAAACCAAACAUUCCAGAAAGUAUUCGCAGGAACUAUGAACUGAUGGAGAGUGAGAGGACAAAGUUACUGAUUGCAGCUCAGACCCAGAAGGUGGUAGAGAAGGAGGCAGAGACAGAGAGGAAAAAGGCUGUCAUCGAGGCAGAGAAGGUGGCUCAGGUGUCUGAAAUAAAGUUUGGACAGAAAGUUAUGGAAAAAGAAACCGAAAAAAAGAUCUCAGAAAUUGAAGAUAGUGCUUUCCUUGCUAGACAGAAAGCAAAGGCAGACGCAGAGUUCUACACGGCACAGAGAGCAGCUGAGGCCAAUAAGUUGAAACUGACUCCUGAAUAUCUCCAGCUGAUGAAAUUUAAGGCAAUAGCCACUAAUAGUAAGAUUUACUUUGGAAGCGAGAUCCCUCACAUGUUUAUGGACUCAGGACCAGGAAGCUCUUCCUCAGCUGCCUCCAAAGCCAUAGAUGCCCUCUCAGAGGGUAUACUGGAUAUGGAUUGACAAGAAAGAGGACCAAAAGCAAAUGUGUAGCACUGAAACAGUGGAUUAAUGAACAGAUUUCCGAGGAUUUGGCAUUAGAGUGUUGUGUUGGUGGACUGCAUCAGAAAUGAGUCUUUGUCAACUCACUGUGGUUGACCUGUAGAAAUCAGGACAUUCUGUGGGCUAUUCCUCAAGACUGGAAUUUUGGAAUAGUCUACAUUUUAAUUUGUCUGUGUGUCAUGAGUAAAUCAGUGUUCUGUGAAUGUUCUACAAUUCCCCUAAACUGAAGCUGCAUUACAUAAUAUAUACAGACGUUUGUUGCCAGCUGUUUUGAAUUACGUUACAUAAAAAGAUCAUAUCUUUUUCUGGUAUCUCCAAAUAUUAUUCAUGUGGAUCAAUAGCUUGCCUCAACAUUUGUAAGGAAUAGGAAUGUUUGACUAACAUCAAUCCUUUUAAAAACUGACUGUAGCUGCAAGGUUUAUAUUGAUUUAUAUGUUUCCAUAAUGAACAGCAUACAUCAUAUUUGAACUAAAUAUUUGUAAUCAUAUCUUCAUCUUGUUACUGUUAAUGACUAGCUUUAUUUUGUGAUGAUGGUGUUUCUUGGGGGCAUGUUUUAUGCUGACAUGGUUGUCUGUAGGCAGAUUAUUUUGGAGUGCAUUGUUCAUGAACUGAUUAAUUUUAAACAAAUUUAAAGCAGGUUGUGUACUACUUUUAGAAUUGGACCUCAGAGACUCAUUAGAGCUUCCCAAAGACCUUGACUGUUCAUGUCUUUGAGUGAAUGUUGAAUCAUUGUCUCAUGUCAAGUGUUUUGUCAUCAAGUGUUUUCACCUUUACCCAUGUACAGUGGAAAGAAAAUGUAUGUGAACCCUUUGGAAUUACCUGCAUUUACAGUGCAUUCAUAAAGUAUUCAGACCCCUUCA